rnacentral:rRNA from 1 species
GGGAAUAUUGGUCAAUGGACGAGAGUCUGAACCAGCCAAGUAGCGUGAAGGAUGACUGCCCUAUGGGUUGUAAACUUCUUUUAUACGGGAAUAAAGUGAGGCACGUGUGCCUUUUUGUAUGUACCGUAUGAAUAAGGAUCGGCUAACUCC